CUAAUUGUUUACAGACGCUAUUUCUGCCUCCACCCAGCGUUGCCCACAGUCGAGGCUCAGCCCUGGCACGGUCCCAUCGGUCCAGGGUGGUGGCUCGCCGAGGGCCCGUCUAGGCAGAGGGUGUGGGCAGCGGCACAGCCACGCUUCCUUUCUUGUGUUUCUGUCACCUCGUUUGUUUCAGCUCCGCGGACACGUAAUCACGGCUGGGCCUCCCUGCCGUUUGCUCGCGAUUCGAAGGCUCCUCGUGGACCCUCUCUGCUUAGGCCUUGGCACGGCCGCCCCGAAGCCGGAAGGCUGCUGUGGUUACCCAGCCUUGGCGCCCCGUCCAGAGCUUAUAAAGAGGCGGCGGCUGACACACCAACCCGCACGCCAUCCAGCUGCGGCUGGCUUUGCCCGGAACAGGCCAGAAAACGGAGGCCAGGGGCCACCCAGCCUGGCGUCUCUGUGGUUGAGCUGAAGGAGGCCCUUUGCAAAGCUUGGUGAGAAGCCUGGAGUCGGCACCAGAGACAGACGUCGAGAGAAUGAAUCCAGCCGGAGAUCGUGCGGGCCGAGGUCCCUGACUCACCACUCCGCGCUGGUGAAUGGGCUCAGACAUGACUGCUGCGUCACAUGACAUCUGUCUGUCACACUGCAAAUCCGUCCCCAGCUCUAGCUCCCACCACGGGGACUGGAGGCAGGAGGAGCCGACGGGCCCCUGGAACGGCCGCGGUGCGUCCCGAGGUGGGAGCCGCAAGCCCGAGGCUCGGCCGAGUCCCAGGGGACCCUAACGGAGGCCGGGCUGGAAGGCCAAGGUGGCUGCCACGUGGGAAGGUAUCCUUGACGUCCAGCCUUCUCGCCCAGACCCUGGAGAAGGAGUCGGGAGCCACCACCCAAAGCAACUGUCCAGGAAAAGUGGUCGCGCUUCAGCCAUCGCGCUGGGCUAGGUCUUCCAAGCGAACCCCCUGUUGGAGCCUCUGCCGUCUAACGUCACCUAAUGUAGCCGAACCUGCCAAGACCCUGGCUACUUCACUGGAACCCAGACCAGGGCGAUCCCCGAGUGUUGCGAGCCCACCUUCCUCUUCCUCGACGGUGGCUCCAGCCCCUUCAUGUCGCCUCCAAGCUCCUGCCCAAGUGUUCCCACCCGCACUGCUGGGAGCAGCUCCUCUGUGUUUUCAGGGCCACUUUGCUGUCGUCCUUUGAAGGUUCUCUUGGCGACUCUAGGAAGACUCCGUGGUACAGGUGACCUUCUGUAUCUGUGGAGGAUCGGUUCCCAGAUACCCCCGCCCACGGAUCCCAAAAUCCCAGGAGCCAAGCCUUGUCUAAAGUGCCGGAGUGCAGCCUGGCCUCCAGAACACGUGAGAACAGAGCAGCCGUACUCUGUUUCCAACGAGCCGAUGGCCAAAGCCCCGCUGUGCGUGUUCUCUAUGGACUGAACAGCCAGUGGCCCUGUAGCAGUGAAGCCUCACACCGUCCUCCAGGCUGGAAGGGACCCUUGAGUCACAGAACUUGCCAGUUUGCAAACAUGUCUCUAGUUGUAACAACUUUCAUCUGUCAAAUGAGGGCUCUUCAUUUCUAAGGUUCUAGAAGCCGGCCGUGGUCAUUUAGUCCCUCAGCUGGGUGUACUGAAAUCUGGGCCAGAGGCACAGCUUCCUCGCUAAGACACCCCCCCACCCCAGCACCCUGCACACACACACAGGCAGAGGCCAAGCUGCCUGCCUCCCCGCACCCCCUAGAAUGCUGACCACUGGGGACCGAGGGGCAGUUCCUACCUUUUACAUCCUUACAUACUGAAUCUGGCGCUGGCUCCUGGGCUGCAUCUUCUUAACUGCAAACACUCUAUACCAUCCCUCUCUGGUUCCACCAGCCACCACCCUCCUUCCGUGUCCUCCUCUGAACGUGCCUGAUAAAGGCUUUUGAGUGACUGAAUGAGUGGACGGCUCCCAUCUUCUGUCAUCUCAAUGAGUGCUGCUCCCCAGCUGACUGGAACCAGACGCCCUAGUUCCCAGGCUGGGUUUCCCUCCAGAUGUGUUCUCCUGCAGUGUCGGUUCCACCGUUAAACAGCUGUAUCGCUCAGCAGGUACGCAACGUUGAUGCGCCUCCAUUUCCUCCUCUGCAGAAUUGUGGGCGUUCCUGUCGUGGCUCAGCAGAAUCCGGCUUGUAUCCACGAGGAUGCGGGUUCUAUCCCUGGCCUCGCUCGGUGAAUCUGGGAUCCAGCCUUGCCGUGAGCUGUGGUGUAGGCCGGAAGCUGUAGCUCCAAUUUGACCCCUAGCCUGGAAACUUCCAUAUGCUGAGGGUUCGGCCUUAAAAACAACAACAACAACAAAAUAGUACUUACGUCAUAGGUUGCUGUCAGCAUUAAAUGAGAGAGUCUGUUAAAAACGCCGAGAACAUUGCCUGGCAAUAUACAUUGCAGAAUACUCAAUAAAUAUUAGCUGGUGUUAUUUCA
ensembl:lncRNA